rnacentral:rRNA from 1 species
UACGUAGGGUGCGAGCGUUGCCCGGAUUUAUUGGGCGUAAAGGGCGCGUAGGCGGCUCGGCACGUCCGUUGUGAAAUCGCCCGGCUCAACUGGGCGGGGUCAGCGGAUACGGUCGAGCUUGAGCAAGCUAGGGGGCAAUGGAAUUCCCGGUGUAGUGGUGGAAUGCGUAUAUAUCGGGAGGAACACCAGUGGCGAAGGCGGCUUCCUGGCCUGUUCUUGACGCUGAGGCGCGAAAGCUAGGGGAGCAAACGGG